rnacentral:rRNA from 1 species
CGUAGGUGACCUGCCCAGAAGUGGGGGACAACACCUCGAAAGAGGUGCUAAUACCGCAUGUGAUCACCGGUCCAUUCGGGUGAUCAAAGGCGCAAGUCGCUUCUGGAGGGGCCUGCGGCGGAUCAGCUAGUUGGUGGGGUAACGGCUCACCAAGGCAACGAUCCGUAGCUGGUCUGAGAGGAUGGCCAGCCAGACUGGGACUGAGACACGGCCCAGACUCCUACGGGAGGCAGCAGUUAGGGAUCUUGUGCAAUGGGGGAAACCCUGACACAGCAACGCCGCGUGAGGGAUGAAGGCCUUCGGGUCGUAAACCUCUUUUCUGAGGGAAGAAACCUGACGGUACCUCAGGAAUAAGCAACGGCUAACUACGUGCCAGCAGCCGCGGUAAUACGUAGGUUGCGAGCGUUGUCCGGAAUCACUGGGCGUAAAGCGCACGCAGGCGGCUCCGCAAGCCCAUGGUGAAAGCCCUCGGCCCAACCGAGGGAUGCCCAUGGGAACUGCGGGGCUCAGAAGACGGGAGAGGCGGAUGGAAUUUCCGGUGUAGCGGUAAAAUGCGUAGAUACCGGAAGGAACACCAGUGGCGAAAGCGAUCCGCUGGCCCGCUCUUGACGCUCAGGUGCGAAAGCUAGGGUAGCGACCGGGAUUAGAUACCCCGUUAGUCCUAGCCGUAAACGAUGGGCACUAGGUGUUGUCGGUAUCGACCCCGGCAGUGCCGAAGCUAACGCAUUAAGUGCCCCGCCUGGGGAGUACGGCCGCAAGGCUAAAACUCAAAGGAAUUGACGGGGGCCCGCACAAGCAGCGGAGCGUGCGGUUCAAUUCGAUGGUACGCGAAGAACCUUACCCAGGCUUGACAUGCAGGUGGUACCGACCCGAAAGGGAAGGGACCCGCAAGGGAGCCUGCAAUGGUGUUGCACGGCUGUCGUCAGCUCGUGUCGUGAGAUGUUGGGUUAAGUCCCGCAACGAGCGCAACCCUCGCCGCCUGUUGUAUCCCUCAGGCGGGACUGCCGAGAGAAACUCGGAGGAAGGUGGGGAUGACGUCAAGUCCGCGUGGCCCUUAUGCCUGGGGCUACACGCACGCUACAAUCGCCGGUCACAGCGGGUCGCAACUGCGCGAGCAGGAGCUAAUCC